rnacentral:rRNA from 1 species
AUGCGGACAAAGAUGGCAUUGCGCGUGCCGCAGAUGCGUCCAGCCUUGGAGAGACCCGAGGUGACACAUGAGACAAGCUCACCACAUCGGAAGGGAGUGGAACCGCGCACUUGGGGUGGGAUAGCAUCCAUCAUGUUCCAGCAGCAGCAGCCGCCGCAGCGCCAGCAGCAGCAGGAGGACGUGAUGUCGUCGGCGACGUCCUCGCCGGCGUCGACGCUGUACUCUCCCACGCCGUACGCUUUCGCGGGGACGUCGGUGCAGGAGCUGAGCUCGGACCAGUGCAGCGUGCGCCUCAUCAGCCUGCUGUACCAGUGCGCCUCCGAGGUGGCCGCCGGCGAGUUCGACCGCGCUAACCUCUGCCUGGAGCAUAUCAUGCAGCUCGCGUCGCUGGACGCGCCUCACACGCUGCAGCGCCUCGCCGCCGUCUUUGCGGACGCGCUGGCCUGCAAGCUGCUGAAGCUCCUGCCGGGCCUCUCGCGGGCGCUCCUCUCGUCUUCGAGCUCCGACGACGCCCACCUCGUCCCGGCCGCGCGCCGCCACAUGUUCGACAUGCUCCCGUUCCUGAAGCUCGCGUACCUGACCACCAACCACGCCAUCAUCGAGGCCAUGGAGGGCGAGCGGUUCGUCCACGUCGUCGACCUCUCCGGCCCUGCUGCCAACCCCGCGCAGUGGAUCGCGCUGUUCCACGCAUUCCGUGGCCGGCGCGACGGCACGCCGAAUCUCCGCAUCACCGCCGUCCACGAGAGCAAGGAGUUCCUCGCUGGCAUGUCCGCGGUGCUCGUCAGGGAGGCCGAGGCGUUCGACAUCCCGUUCCAGUUCAACGCCGUCGAGGCGAGGCUCGAGGACAUGGACUUGGACGCGCUCCGGCACAACCUCCGCGUCAGGUCCGGCGAGGCGCUCGCGGUGAGCGUAGCGCUGCAGCUGCACCGCCUCCUCGCGGCCGACGACACCGGAGGCAGGCGGCAGGGCGGCCUCACCCCGCUCCAGAUCGUCGCGCGGUCCAGCCCGAGCAGCUUCGGGGAGCUCCUGGAGCGGGAACUGAACACGCGGCUACAGCUGAGCCCCGACGCGUCCGCGUUCUCCUCCAUGUCGCCGCAGUCCCCGAUAGGCGGCCACUUCCCCGCCGGAGGGCAGCAGAGGCCCAAGAUCGGGUCCUUCCUGUCGGCGGUGAAGGCGCUGUCUCCCAAGAUCAUGGUGGUGACGGAGCAGGAGGCGAACCACAACGGGGCGGCGUUCCACGAGAGGUUCGACGAGGCGCUCAACUACUAUGCGUCGCUGUUCGACUGCCUGGAGCGCGCGGCGGCGGCGCAGCGGGGCAGCGCGGCGGCGGAGCGGGCGCGGGUGGAGCGGUCGGUGCUGGGGGAGGAGAUCAGGAGCAUCGUGGCGUGCGAGGGCGGGGAGCGGAAGGAGCGGCACGAGCGGGCGCGGCAGUGGGCGGGGAGGAUGGAGGCGGCGGGGAUGGAGCGGGUGGGGCUGAGCUACAGCGGCGCCAUGGAGGCGAGGAAGCUGCUGCAGAGGAGCGGGUGGGGCGGGUACGAGGUGAGGCACGACGCCGAGGGGCACUGCUUCUUCCUCUGCUGGCACAAGAAGCCGCUGUACGCCGUCACCGCUUGGAGGCCGGCGGGGUACCACCACUCCGGCGGCGCCAGGUCCAGGUGA